CCUACGGGCGGCAGCAGUGAGGAAUAUUGGUCAAUGGUCGGGAGCCUGAACCAGCCAAGCCGCGUGAGGGAGGAAGGUACAGAGUAUCGUAAACCUCUUUUGUCAGGGAACAAAGGCGGGGACGUGUCCCCGGAUGAGUGUACCUGAAGAAAAAGCAUCGGCUAACUCCGUGCCAGCAGCCGCGGUAAUACGGAGGAUGCGAGCGUUAUCCGGAUUUAUUGGGUUUAAAGGGUGCGCAGGCGGUCUGUUAAGUCAGCGGUCAAAGCCCGGGGCUCAACCCCGCCCCGCCGUUGAAACUGGCAGUCUCGAGUUGGAGAGAAGUAUGCGGAAUGCGUGGUGUAGCGGUGAAAUGCAUAGAUAUCGCGCAGAACUCCGAUUGCGAAGGCAGCAUGCCGGCCCCACACUGACGCUGAGGCACGAAAGCGUGGGUAUCGAACAGGAUUAGAUACCCUAGUAGUC
rnacentral:rRNA from 1 species